UCUAAGGAUAGUCGAACAUAUCUUUGAUAGUUUGACUGUACUAGAACAUAAAAAAUUCCGCCGUCCUCAUGUCCCUUCAUCUUGGAAAAAGCCUGUUGAGCACUGUAGAGUGUUUGAUGGUGGUAAAGUUAGCCUAUGUGCUAUUGCCAAUGGGCCGGUAGCUCAGGUGGUUAGAGCGCACGCCUGAUAAGCGUGAGGUCGGAGGUUCAACUCCUCCCCGGCCCACCAUGGUUCAGGUAGGGAAUUUCAAAGGGGCCUUAGCUCAGUUGGGAGAGCGCUAGCUUUGCAAGCUUGAGGUCAUCGGUUCGAUCCCGAUAGGCUCCACCAGAAAUUAUCUGGUUGUUUUCCAAAGAAAGAUGAAGAGGAAAAGAGAUCCUUCUGAUGAUAUCAGGAGGGUAGGGGAUUUAUCCCUGAAUGUUAUUUGAAAUUGUGAAUGGAAAUAUUGAAAAUCGAUGCCGCGACUUCGAUUUUUGAAUGACUGCUUCGGUGGUUAUUUGGAAAGCGAAAGUUGCAUAAAGUAAAGAUAUUCAAUUGAUGCUGAGAUUUAACAAAAAGCAUCAUCGGUGGAAGAAGCAAUUCUGACAUUGAUGGUGGAAGUUCUCAAGCGU
rnacentral:tRNA from 1 species